GACGAACGCUGGCGGCGUGCUUAACACAUGCAAGUCGAGCGGUAAGGCCCUUUCGGGGGUACACGAGCGGCGAACGGGUGAGUAACACGUGGGUGACCUGCCCUCAGCUCUGGGAUAAGCCCGGGAAACUGGGUCUAAUACUGGAUAUUACUCUGCGGUGCAUGCCGUGGGGUGGAAAGCCUUGUGCGGCUGGGGAUGGGCCCGCGGCCUAUCAGCUUGUUGGUGGGGUGAUGGCCACCAAGGCGACGACGGGUAGCCGGCCUGAGAGGGCGACCGGCCACACUGGGACUGAGACACGGCCCAGACUCCUACGGGAGGCAGCAGUGGGGAAUCUUGCGCAAUGGGCGAAAGCCUGACGCAGCGACGCCGCGUGAGGGAUGACGGCCUCGG
rnacentral:rRNA from 1 species